UACAGUGCCACGGUAGUGGAAGAGGUCAGUGCCCGGGAGAGGAGCUCUGUACAUAUCUAGAGAACAUCCCUCCCUGAAGCCUAAGCACGGGGUUUGGGAACAAGAGCAGUAUGGCAGUGAGAAUGAGGAGACAGGGGGAAUCUCUGGAGUCACAGCAUAGGUACCAGGGCUGAAUGCUGAGCUCAGUAGCUUUUCUGACCCUUCGGAGAAAAGGCCUGCUCUUCUGGACUAAGUUGCAGAAGGGUCCAGCUGUGAGACAUGGUUAGCAGGGAGUGGCUUCUGAGAAGGCAAACUCAUGACCCAGGAGAAGUCUGGUGACUACUGGUGGUUUAAAAAGCAGACAAAAAUCUCCCCACCCCAUGCUGCUGCAGCUAGGAACCAAGCAUCUCCCAGGACGGUGGUGGCACUAUAGGUGACAAGCUGUAGACUCAGGGCCACUUGCAGAAUCUCUGAGCUCUAGUGCUCAAAGGAGAAUGAGAAUUAGUAGUCAAGGAUAAAUGGACCUGAGACCUGGCCACAGAGCUCAGGCUGGGAGUAAGCUUAGAAAGCAAGGAAGGCGUGACAACCGAAGUGCAGUGUGACCAGCCAGCAGGAAACUACCACCUAAAGAACUACGCCAGAAAGAACUAAGGAGCAAACAGCCAUACCAUAUAGGAAGGUAGGAGCAGUGGGGGUGGGAGACCCUGGACAAGCUGGUAGCCGUGUGGGCAUUGCACAGGCUCAGUUUGGGCUGCAGCAUGUGCAGUCUGCCUCAGCCAGAGGCCAGUGGCCCUGCAGACUGGGACCGAAUCUGCUGCACCUUUGCUCCAGGCCCAUACUGUAAAUCACUGCUGUGUGCACUGGAAAGCAAACCUCAGUGUGAGGUGUCUGUGUCCCUGUGAACAUCCAGAGGUCUGGUUUGUACCUCCGGCCUCCAGUUGGCUGCAGAGUCGCUGAUUGUCUUGGGAUUAGCCUGUGUAGAUGUAGAAAGGGGGCGGAAGACAGGUCCCUGGGUUGCUGCGUCCAGUCUUGUUCUCAUUCAGCUUUCCAGUCUGUGAGUCCCCGGUAUGUUCAGGAGAGCAGCGCGUCCAUCUCUGGUAUCACCCUGAGUUUUAAAUGCUGUAUAGAAAGGCAGCAACAGCUACAACAGAAAUUGCACCCUGACCACUUUUGAUCUUAGAAUGAAAUUAAUUGGGGUCUCAGAAGUGUUCCCCCUUCCCAGGGCUCCCGCAUUAUCCACGUCUGGAUAAGUAGGCAGCCUGAGCCACUGGAGUCCGAGGGCGCUGGGCUGACCCUCUUCCUGCCUCAGCCCACACAGUGUUGAAGGGAGAAGAGGACACGAUGCUGUCUGUCAGCUCCCUGGCACAUCGCAGGCAGGCAGGCAUUUUUUGCACUAGGAAGUUCAGUGUCACCCUUCUUGAGACUGGACCACAAACACAUUAUGGAGGAGCAGGUUUUGCCAAGACAUAACUUAGUUUUAUAAUCAAUCAUGGAUGAACCAUAUAUGGCUAACUUGGAGUUUAAGGGGGGGGGGGUUCCCAUCAGUGAAAACAAAUCAAAAAUUUAAAAAACUUUUUAGUUCAAUGGAAGUCACUUCUCAAAAGGUUUAAACUUUCCCACUGUGAUCUUAAAAGCAUGUCAAACACUCUGAAUCAGAUGCCAUAAGUAUGGGCUGCAGGAGAACAUGGUACAGUCUCAGUGAAUGGAAUCAAAGGUUUGCUGUCCUUAGAAUGUUCGAAAAUGUCAAGGCAGUUGCUUGUGUUUAACUGUGAACAAAUAAAGAUUUAUUGUUUUGCACUCCG
rnacentral:lncRNA from 1 species